rnacentral:rRNA from 1 species
UACGGGGGGGGCAAGCGUUGUUCGGAAUUACUGGGCGUAAAGGGCUCGUAGGCGGCCAACUAAGUCAGACGUGAAAUCCCCAGGCUCAACCGGGGAACUGCGUCUGAUACUGGAUGGCUUGAGUUUGGGAGAGGGACGCGGAAUUCCAGGUGUAGCGGUGAAAUGCGUAGAUAUCUGGAGGAACACCGGUGGCGAAGGCGGCGUCCUGGACCAACACUGACACUGAUGAGCGAAAGCCAGGGGAGCAAACGGG